rnacentral:rRNA from 1 species
AGGCAACCUGCCCUCAAGUUUGGGACAACUACCGGAAACGGUAGCUAAUACCGAAUAGUUGUUUCCUUCGCCUGAAGGAAACUGGAAAGACGGAGCAAUCUGUCACUUGGGGAUGGGCCUGCGGCGCAUUAGCUAGUUGGUGGGGUAACGGCUCACCAAGGCGACGAUGCGUAGCCGACCUGAGAGGGUGAUCGGCCACACUGGGACUGAGACACGGCCCAGACUCCUACGGGAGGCAGCAGUAGGGAAUCUUCCGCAAUGGGCGAAAGCCUGACGGAGCAAUGCCGCGUGAGUGAUGAAGGUUUUCGGAUCGUAAAGCUCUGUUGCCAGGGAAGAACGCUUGGGAGAGUAACUGCUCUCAAGGUGACGGUACCUGAGAAGAAAGCCCCGGCUAACUACGUGCCAGCAGCCGCGGUAAUACGUAGGGGCAAGCGUUGUCCGGAAUUAUUGGGCGUAAAGCGCGCGCAGGCGGUCAUUUAAGUCUGGUGUUUAAUCCCGGGGCUCAACCCCGGAUCGCACUGGAAACUGGGUGACUUGAGUGCAGAAGAGGAGAGUGGAAUUCCACGU